rnacentral:rRNA from 1 species
UACGUAGGGUGCAAGCGUUAAUCGGAAUUACUGGGCGUAAAGCGUGCGCAGGCGGUUGUGUAAGACAGAUGUGAAAUCCCCGGGCUCAACCUGGGAACUGCAUUUGUGACUGCACAGCUGGAGUGCGGCAGAGGGGGGAUGGAAUUCCGCGUGUAGCAGUGAAAUGCGUAGAUAUGCGGAGGAACACCGAUGGCGAAGGCAAUCCCCUGGGCCUGCACUGACGCUCAUGCACGAAAGCGUGGGGAGCGAACAGG